rnacentral:rRNA from 1 species
UACGUAGGGUCCGAGCGUUGUCCGGAUUCAUUGGGCGUAAAGAGCUCGUAGGCGGCUGCUCAAGUCGAAUGUGAAAACUCGAGGCUCAACCUCGAGCCUGCAUUCGAUACUGGGCGGCUAGAGUCUGGUAGGGGGAUCUGGAAUUCCUGGUGUAGCGGUGGAGUGCGCAGAUAUCAGGAGGAACACCGGUGGCGAAGGCGGGAUCCUGGGCCAGUACUGACGCUGAGGAGCGAAAGCGUGGGGAGCGAACAGG